CUUGUGUGUUGGCCAACUUUCUCACUCUUUCCUCUCCUGUCCUCGUGCCGUCUCCCUUCGUAGGAGACGGGCAGGCUUGCUCGGUGUGCAUCCCCGCAGGCAAGGUCUCGGGAGCCACGGAGAAGUAGGAGGGGACGAAAAUCAUGCAGGGCUGUGACUGUUGGUGUUAACUUGGUCUCUGUUCAUCGAGUGGGGCUGAUGUAGAUGAGAUUGGAGAGGGAGGCCAGGAUGAGGGCAAGAUUUGAAGCAACAAAUAGAGCUUUAAGUAGUGAUGGCUCAUGCUUGGCUUUUGCAGCUGCGCUUCCAGAGGAAUUUUCCAAGAGCCCUGUCCUGAGGAGAAAGUGGCAGAAGUGGACAUGAGCAGACUGGACAUCCUUAUAAGCAGAUAUGAACAGUUCUCAGCUUUCUGACUCCCGCAUAAUUGGCUGACCGAGGGAAAAGAAGUCACGCCUCAGAGACGCAAGCCCUCAUGUGAUGGAAAGCAAGCCGGAGUGACGAGACCAUGAGCAUUGUUGAUGUCACGCAAAAGCCGUCCAACUGGGAGGGGAACGGCCGCCACUCUCAGUGAGAUAAGUGUCUGGUUUGGUGAUUGUUGUGCUCAUGGCCCACCUUUCUCCUGCUAGGGACGCCACAUUACCUGGGGCUGGGUUUGAAGAAAAUGUUCUUGACUAGCAGUGGUUAUGAGGGGGACAAGGUCCCCAUUUUCGGGAUCUGCUCAUUUCUCUGGCCAGGAAGGGUGUCUCCUACGCAACGGAAGGUUGCAUCUAGAAGGAUGACUCCAGGUAGUGAGUUGCUUGCUUUCCUCCCAUGUCUUUCUAUCUAUCUGUCUCUCUCUCUUCUCUAGUGUGUUGGCCAAUUUUCUCGCUGACUCGCCUCUCCUCUCCUCGUGCCGUCUCCCUUCGUAGGAGAGGUUUGUGUAGUGAUGGCUCAUGCUUGGCUUUUGCAGCUGCGCUUCCAGAGGAAUUUUCCAGGAGCCCUAGUCCGAAGAGAAAGUGGCAGAACUGGACAUGAGCAGACUGGACACCCUUGUCAGCAGACAUGAACAGACCUCGGCUUUCUGACUCCCGCAUAACUCGCUUAUCAGGAAAAGAAAACGAACGUCAGAGUUUACUCCCCUCGUCGGAUGGAAAGCGAGCGAGAACAGUGAGCCCGCAAGCAUUGUUGAUGCAAGUCAGGAGCCGUCCAGUUGGCAGUGGAGCAGUCGCUAUUGUCAGUGAGAUAAGUGUCUGGUUUGGUGAGGGCUCUGCGUAGGGCCCCCCGGUCCAGGUAGGGACACCCGUUAGCUGGGGCUGGGUUUGUAAGAAAUGGUUCCUGACCAGCUGUGGUUAUGAGAGACACAAGGUCCCCAUUUUCAGGGACUGCGCAUUUCUCUGGCCAGAUACAGUGUGUCCUCGGCAGCUGAAGGUUGCAUCCAGGAGGAUGACUCCAGGUGGUGAGUUGCUUGCCUUCCUCCCAUGUCUUUCUAUCUGUCUCUCUCUCUUCUCUAGUACAUUGGCCAACACACACCCUCUAUCUCUCUAUGUCUGUCCUUGCCUUUCCUUGUUCUGCCUCCCUUCGUAGGACACAGGCAGGUGUGCUAGGUGUGCAUCCCCAGAGGCCAGGUCUCGGGAGCCAUGGAGAAGUUGGAGUGGACGAAAAGCAUGCGGGGCAGUGGGCGCUAAAGUGGAGCUGUGACUGUCUGUGUUUACUCAGUCUCUGUUCAUCCAGUGGGGCUGAUGUAGAUGGGACUGGAGAGGGAGGCAGGGAUGAGGGCACGAUUCAACGCACCAAUAGAGCUCUGUGUAGUGAUAGUUCUUGCUUGGCUUUAUUAGUUUGUGGAGGAAUCGUCCAGGAGCCCUAGCCGGACAAGAAUAUGGCAGAAGUGGACCUGAGCAGCCUGGACAUCCUUCUAAGGAGACGUGAAUAGUCCUCAUGUUUCUGCCUUCUGCAUCGCUGGCUGUGAGUAAGAGUACCAAGGAAAACGAAGUCACGCGUCAGUCUACUGUCCUCAUGUGAUGGAAAGCGAGCCAGAGCGUCGAGACUCUGAGCAUUGUUGAUGCCAUGCAAAAGCCG